AUUGAACGCUGGCGGAAUGCUUUACACAUGCAAGUCGAACGGCAGCACGGACUUCGGUCUGGUGGCGAGUGGCGAACGGGUGAGUAAUGUAUCGGAACGUGCCCAGUCGUGGGGGAUAACGUAGUGAAAAUUACGCUAAUACCGCAUACGAUCUAUGGAUGAAAGCGGGGGAUCGCAAGACCUCGCGCGAUUGGAGCGGCGGAUAUCAGAUUAGGUCGUUGGUGGGGUAAAGGCCCACCAAGCCAACGAUCUGUAGCUGGUCUGAGAGGACGUCCAGCCACACUGGAACUGAGCCACGGUCCAGACUCCUACGGGAGGCAGCAGUGGGGAAUUUUGGACAAUGGGCGAAAGCCUGAUCCAGCCACUCCGCGUGCAGGAUGAAGGCCCUCGGGUUGUAAACUGCUUUUGUACAGAACGAAAAGGUUUCUACUAAUACUAGGAGCUCAUGACGGUACUGUAAGAAUAAGCACCGGCUAACUACGUGCCAGCCGCCGCCGUAA
rnacentral:rRNA from 1 species